UCUAAGGGAAGUGAAAUAAUUUGUGCAUGG
rnacentral:piRNA from 1 species